rnacentral:lncRNA from 1 species
CCGCGGCCACCCGCCGGGCCCGAGAGCGCUUGCCCGGGUGUUCCGACUUGCCCGAGCCACCUCCCUCGCCAGGACGUUUCCCAAGGUGAGAGUCUGGGGUCACGGCCCCCACACAGGUGACUUACUCCGUGUGGCUGAAGGGACCGGCAGGCAUCAGCCGGGCGUCAGCCUGGUCCCUUGGAUCACCUUCCUGCCCCUCCCAGCACGCGCACACACACAGACGCACGCACACACACGCGCGCUCACACCCCCAUACUCACUCCUGCUCCCACCUCCGGCUCUCCAGCUUAUACACCCGCCCCUCCAAGUCCCGACCGACCUCCUAGUUGAUCCAGCGAUCCAGCCGGUGCCUUGUAGCCCCUUACGCGCCUCUCCCCAGCCUUCGAGCCUGCUGACCACGCCUUCCUUUCUGGAUCGCUGGGAGCACGAAAGUUUCCGCAGUUGGCGCCUGCUCCUAUCUCUCCAAAUCUCCUGCAUACCUUGGUGACUCCACCUUCUCACCCUCCAAGGCUGGGCUUUUCCAUGGUGGUGUUCCCCCAGGUCCCACCGCAGCCUGUCUCCUCUGUCACUCUGCGGGCCUACCCAGUCUUGUGGUUUCAACGACCUCCUGCCUGCCGAUGACUUUUGAACUCACAUCCAACCCAGGACGUCCUAGAGCUGCAGGUGGUGUAUCCAGCUUCCUGGGGUCCGUCUCCACUGGAGGUUUGUAGUCCCAAACUCAAACUCCUAAUUUCCUUCCAGGAACGUGCCAGAAGCUGCUGCUGCUCCUGUGUUUCCAGUCUUAAUGACGGAUAGCACCACCUCCCACUCCAGGCCGUACUGGGGAGCCAUCCUUGACUCUCUCCUUUUCAUCUCUCACGUGAAAUGUGUCACCAAGGGAGGAAAUGGAACCAGUCAUUAGCCCUGGAGCAGACACCCUUGGUCUGGCCAAGCUAUCAACCUGCCUCUCAAGAUGUGAUGCCUAAAAGAUGCCCUGGGACUUCCUGCUGUUCCUCCUUGAUGCCAGCUCCUUACAGCAAAACCAUCUGUUGUCGUUACCUCACCCUGGGCUGGCCUUCUUCCCAUCACCUGCAGCUGGUCUUCUCUCCAAACACCUGUCCCUGCUGGCUGCAGUUAACCCUUCUUUUUCUGGCUGUGUUACUGGAUACAACCCUAACUCUAAAAUGAACAACUAAAUAACAAACUAAAUAGAUUAACUCUUGGUCUCAGUCUGUUAUGAUCCCUGAGGUACAUUUUUGAAAUGGCUUAAGAGUGAUAAUGUCUGGGCCAAAUAAAGUGGUCUCACGCAGAUAAAAUUUUACCCA